AGAGUUAAAUAGUACGUGAAAUUGUUGAAAGGGAAACGAUUGAAGUCAGUCAUGCUAGUGAAAAAUCAGUUUGGCGGGUUUUGAGUUCGGGAGUAGAGGCAGGGUCAAACCGUUUCUCUUUUGGACUUGGGAUUUGUCGGACGUACUUUUUCUUUGGCAGGUCAGCGUCGGUUUCGGAGGUUGUAAAAUACUUGGGGGAAAGUAGCUCUGCUUCGGGAGAGUGUUAUAGACCCUGGGGGAUGCAGCCUGUGGGAUCGAGGAUUGCAGCAAAUGCUUUUUGGCUUGUCGCCUAUCUCUGGUCGUUACCUCUCUUGUGACAACAUUCUUGCCACCGGAGGGUACUAAUGCCCAUUACUUAGAGCGAUCGAAAAUUUGCUAAGGAUGCUGACGUAAUGGCUUUAAACGACC
rnacentral:ncRNA from 2 species